UACGUAGGGUGCGAGCGUUAAUCGGAAUUACUGGGCGUAAAGCGUGCGCAGGCGGUUUUGUAAGCCAGAUGUGAAAGCCCCGGGCUUAACCUGGGAAUGGCAUUUGGGACUGCAAGGCUUGAGUGCGGCAGAGGAGACUGGAAUUCCUGGUGUAGCAGUGAAAUGCGUAGAUAUCAGGAGGAACACCGGUGGCGAAGGCGGCGACCUGGGUAGAUACUGACGCUGAGGCGCGAAAGCGUGGGGAGCAAACAGG
rnacentral:rRNA from 1 species